CAAAGUACUCACCUCAGUCUACUAAAGUUGGAACAAUACAAAGGUUGGCAUGGCCACUACACAAGGAUGACAUGCAUAUCUGUGAAGUGUUCCACUAAAAA
ensembl:snRNA U6 U6 spliceosomal RNA